GUCCCGUGUAACGUCUAUCUCUCUCCCUCUCUCCUUCAUUUGCAGCGUGGAUGGUCUCUCGCGUCUGAAUCGUGCUGACGCUGUAUGGAAAGACGAUAAACCAUGGCUUAUUGUAUCGCAGAGUAUAGACCGCAGCAUCAAAUAAUGACGAUGUCAGGUGAGAUGUCUAAUUCCACACAGGCUGUAGCCGCCUAAACACGCCAUUGGCAGCCACCACCACGCUGGAGGAUCCAGGAACGCCAGCCUCCUGGAAGGGCCCGCCGCCCGGCUCGGAGGCAUCGCCCUUUACACCCAAUUCCGUCGGCCAGGGCGGAGGUCCCGGUGC